GACGUAGGGCGCGAGCGUUGUCCGGAUUAUUGGGCGUAAGAGCUCGUAGGCGGCUGUCGCGUCGUCCGUGAAACCUGCAGCUCAACUGCAGGCUUGCGGUCGAUACGGGCAGGCUAGAGUUCGGUAGGGGAGACUGGAAUUCCUGGUGUAGCGGUGAAAUGCGCAGAUAUCAGGAGGAACACCGGUGGGCGAAGGCGGGUCUCUGG
rnacentral:rRNA from 1 species